CGGGGGUGCGAGCGUUGUCCGGAAUCACUGGGCGUAAAGGGCGCGUAGGUGGUUUGAUAAGGCUGUGGUGAAAGCCCGGGGCUCAACCCCGGGUCUGCCGUGGCGACUGUCAGACUUGAGGGCUCGAGAGGCAGACGGAAUUCCGGGUGUAGCGGUGGAAUGCGUAGAGAUCCGGAAGAAGACCGGUGGCGAAGGCGGUCUGCUGGCGAGUACCUGACACUGAGGCGCGACAGCGUGGGGAGCAAACAGGAUUAGAUACCCUGGUAGUCCACGCCGUAAACGAUGGGCACUAGGCGCUUGGGGGAGCGACCCUCUGAGGGCCGGCGCUAACGCAUGAAGUGCCCCGCCUGGGGAGUACGGCCGCAAGGCUG
rnacentral:rRNA from 1 species